rnacentral:lncRNA from 1 species
UGAAACCCCAUCUUUACACAAAAUACAAAAAUUAGCCAGACAUGGUGGUAUCAGUCUGUAGUCCCAGCUACUCUGGAGGCUGAGCUGGGAGCAUGGCUUGUACUCAGGAGGCAGAGGUGGCGGUGAGCUGACAUCACACCACUGCACACCAGCCUGGGCGACAGAGUGAGAUCCUGGCCCAAAACAAAAAGGAGUCCCUAGGUAGCAAACUGCAACUUAACUUCAUAUGAAAACAAUCUACAACUGUAACAUAUUCUGUAACAAAUAACUGAGACUCAGUUAAUUAUAGCAGCUGGGCUUUAACCAGUCAUGGGAUGACAACUGAUCAGACCAUGUAUCUGUAUAAGGCAAGUGCUUCAUCACACCGUGGCUGAAUCAGUUAGAAACAUUAUAUAAAUAAUUAUAUUCAUUCAUUUCAAGACAAGAGACACACCUCUUAUUACAGAAGAAAUAUCAAGUUUGUUUUACUGGAAAAAGGCUUUCUUCUCAGUUGACAGAAUUAUUUUUCUCUAUUUUGUGUCUUGCCAUUUUUUUGUUUUUGAGGUGGAGUCUCACUACAACGCCCAGGCUGAAGGGCAAUGGCAUGAUCUUGGCUCACUGCAACCUCCACUUCCUGGGUUCAAGCAAUUCUCCUGCCUCAGCCUCUUGAGUAGCUGGGAUUACGGGCACCCACCAUCAUGCCUAGCUAUUUUUUUUGUAUUUUUGGUAGAGACAGAGAUUCAGCAUAUUGGCCAGGCUGGUCAUGAACUCCUGACCUCAAGUGAUC